rnacentral:rRNA from 1 species
UACGUAGGGGGCAAGCGUUGUCCGGAAUCAUUGGGCGUAAAGAGCGUGUAGGCGGCUCGGUAAGUCCGCUGUGAAAGUCCAGGGCUCAACCCUGGAAUGCCGGUGGAAACUGUCGAGCUAGAGUCCGGAAGAGGCGAGUGGAAUUCCUGGUGUAGCGGUGAAAUGCGUAGAUAUCAGGAGGAACACCUGUGGCGAAAGCGGCUCACUGGACCAUAACUGACGCUGAUGCACGAAAGCUAGGGGAGCAAACAGG